CACGUAUUUAGCCGUCGCUUCUUCUGUUGGUACCGUCACUUUCUUCUUCCCAACUGAAAGCACUUUACAAUCCUAAGACCGUCAUCGUGCACACAGAAUUGCUGGAUCAGGCUUGUGGCCCAUUGUCCAAUAUUCCCCACUGCUGCCUCCCGUAGGAGUAAGGGCCGUGUCUCAGUCCCCUUGUGGCCGUUCACCCUCUCAGGCCGGCUAUCCAUCGUCGCCUUGGUGGGCCAUUACCCCACCAACUAGCUAAUGGAACGCAAGACUCUCUUUUGGCGCAUAUAGCUUUCAUAAAUUCUCCAUGCGGAAAUUUCAUAAUAUCCGGUAUUAGCUGUCGUUUCCAACAGUUGUCCCAGUCCAAAAGGCAAGUUUCUUACGCGUUACUCACCCGUCCGCCAUCCUCCAUUCCCCGAAGGAAAUUUCGAAUCGACUUGCAUGUGUUAAGCAUUCUGUCAGCGUUCAUCCUGAGCCAGGAUCAAACUCU
rnacentral:rRNA from 1 species